UGUUGGUUCUUCUAGAUCAAGCAUGUCAAACUUGUGGCUGGCGGGCCGCAAGUUUGACAUGCUUGUUCUAGAUUGAUGAUCAUA